AAGAAGUCUGCUGAAGUCUUGGGGGUUCUGGACCCGGCUUGUGUGUUUAGCAAGGCUCAGGUGUGGGAGGACACCUCUGGACAGGGGCAUAUCUGCAGUGUCCCACCAUUUCCUCAUGAUGCUCCCAUGAGACUGGGAAAUGGAGAGGACACUGUCAUACUAAAAUGGAGUCUCUGGUGUAUGAAUGUAGGUCUGUGCACAGUGGAGUGGGUGCUCAUCAGAAGUAACAUUUGCACAUUUUUUCCAGCUAUGGAGGAAGAACCAUUGGCCAUCAUCCUCACCCGUGGAUGUGUCUAUAUGUCCGUCCCAGCCCUUGAGCUGUCAAGUCUCCAGGGGAAAACUUCGUAGGGGAAGGUGCAGGAUCUACGUGUGGGUCUCUUUGCUUGCCUUCAGUACACGGAUAACACAGGUGAUGCUUCCUCUAACUGG
rnacentral:lncRNA from 1 species